rnacentral:rRNA from 1 species
AGCGAACGCUGGCGGUAGGCCUAACACAUGCAAGUCGAACGGCAGCACAGUAAGAGCUUGCUCUUACGGGUGGCGAGUGGCGGACGGGUGAGGAAUACAUCGGAAUCUACUUUUUCGUGGGGGAUAACGUAGGGAAACUUACGCUAAUACCGCAUACGACCUACGGGUGAAAGCAGGGGAUCUUCGGACCUUGCGCGAUUGAAUGAGCCGAUGUCGGAUUAGCUAGUUGGCGGGGUAAAGGUCCACCAAGGCGACGAUCCGUAGCUGGUCUGAGAGGAUGAUCAGCCACACUGGAACUGAGACACGGUCCAGACUCCUACGGGAGGCAGCAGUGGGGAAUAUUGGACAAUGGGCGCAAGCCUGAUCCAGCCAUACCGCGUGGGUGAAGAAGGCCUUCGGGUUGUAAAGCCCUUUUGUUGGGAAAGAAAAGCAGCAGGUUAAUACCCCGCUGUUCUGACGGUACCCAAAGAAUAAGCACCGGCUAACUUCGUG